CUAAUGAUAACUCGUUAGCAUCGUCGUACAGUACAUCGAAUAUUUCCUGAACAGUUAAACGUUGUAUAGAUUUGCCAGCCAUUGUACGAAACGUCUGUAUUUUACGCAACGCCGGUGCAGAUAUUCGAGAGACAGCGGUUGGCGAAGGAACAGGGACAAUCGACGUUCAGCAACAAUGGAAGGAGAGCCGGCCAGACAGAGGGGAAGAAGAAUGACUGGCGAAGUUAUAUGGCGGUCGAAACUACGCUGUCGGGAAAGGGGACAAGUUCAAGCGGCAAGGUCAAGUCCCACGCCACCCACCAGCAAGAUUUAUUAUAGUUUCCAUACCGUGUCACACGUUGACCCAGUUUGAAAAAAAAAAAAA